rnacentral:ncRNA from 1 species
UUGAUAAAGGCAAAUCCAUCGAAAGAUGGGGACGCAAAACUACAGGGGCUACCGCGGUUUACGCCGUUACGCCAGCCAGUUGCCGA